GUGUGUGUGUGUGUGUGUGUGUGUGUAUAAUUCAUUUUUAUGUAAGUAUUACGAUUGGUACCCCCUAAACAAUACGAUCUGAAGUAGAUGGGAAUCUCAAAUUUCUUUAAUCUAUAGAACACAAGGUUAGUUUACUCUUUCUGUGGCAUUGUAGGCUAAUCUUGCUUAUUGUGUCCACUUUAUUAUUGUUAUUAUUAAGCUAAUGUAAGUCUCUAUUAAAUUUGUGUCAUUGUGUGCUUG
rnacentral:misc_RNA from 1 species